UUGCAUCUUUGACAGCCUAGAGUCUUGUAUUGUGGCCACCUGGGUUUCAGUAUUUUGAGAUGCAAAAUUAAAUGUCCUUGCGCUUUCUGCCUGCCUUAUGAGUGGCAUGUUGGAUUGAAUUGAGGACUACAAAA